AGAGUUUCUCCUGGCUUAGGACGAACGCUGGCGGCGCGCCUAACACAUGCAAGUCGAACGAGAGAGAGGGAGCUUGCUUCCUCAAUCGAGUGGCGAACGGGUGAGUAACGCGUGAGGAACCUGCCUCAAAGAGGGGGACAACAGUUGGAAUCGACUGCUAAUACCGCAUAAGCCCACGGCUCGGCAUCGAGCAGAGGGAAAAGGAGCAAUCCGCUUUGAGAUGGCCUCGCGUCCGAUUAGCUAGUUGGUGAGGUAAUGGCCCACCAAGGCGACGAUCGGUAGCCGGACUGAGAGGUUGAACGGCCACAUUGGGACUGAGACACGGCCCAGACUCCUACGGGAGGCAGCAGUGGGGAAUAUUGCACAAUGGGGGAAACCCUGAUGCAGCGACGCCGCGUGGAGGAAGAAGGUCUUCGGAUUGUAAACUCCUGUUGUUGAGGAAGAUAAUGACGGUACUCAACAAGGAAGUGACGGCUAACUACGUGCCAGCAGCCGCGGUAAAACGUAGGUCACAAGCGUUGUCCGGAAUUACUGGGUGUAAAGGGAGCGCAGGCGGGAAGACAAGUUGGAAGUGAAAUCUAUGGGCUCAACCCAUAAACUGCUUUCAAAACUGUUUUUCUUGAGUAGUGCAGAGGUAGGCGGAAUUCCCGGUGUAGCGGUGGAAUGCGUAGAUAUCGGGAGGAACACCAGUGGCGAAGGCGGCCUACUGGGCACCAACUGACGCUGAGGCUCGAAAGUGUGGGUAGCAACAGGAUUAGAUACCCUGGUAGUCCACACCGUAAACGAUGAUUACUAGGUGUUGGAGGAUUGACCCCUUCAGUGCCGCAGUUAACACAAUAAGUAAUCCACCUGGGGAGUACGACCGCAAGGUUGAAACUCAAAGGAAUUGACGGGGGCCCGCACAAGCAGUGGAGUAUGUGGUUUAAUUCGACGCAACGCGAAGAACCUUACCAAGUCUUGACAUCCUGCGACGCACAUAGAAAUAUGUAUUUCCUUCGGGACGCAGAGACAGGUGGUGCAUGGUUGUCGUCAGAUCGUGUCGUGAGAUGUUGGGUUAAGUCCCGCAACGAGCGCAACCCUUACUGUCAGUUACUACGCAAGAGGACUCUGGCAGGACUGCCGUUGACAAAACGGAGGAAGGUGGGGAUGACGUCAAAUCAUCAUGCCCUUUAUGACUUGGGCUACACACGUACUACAAUGGCGUUAAACAAAGAGAAGCAAGACCGCGAGGUGGAGCAAAACUCAGAAACAACGUCCCAGUUCGGACUGCAGGCUGCAACUCGCCUGCACGAAGUCGGAAUUGCUAGUAAUCGUGGAUCAGCAUGCCACGGGAAUACGUUCCCGGGCCUUGACACACCGCCCGUC
rnacentral:rRNA from 1 species